rnacentral:misc_RNA from 1 species
AUAGCCAACCACUCGCUAGCACUCCAGCUGUUUGGUAGCAAAGAAUCUGUUUUCAAAUUGCAGAAUGCGUAGUUGCUAGUCGGGAACCUCAUGCAGGGCAAGAAGGCGCUCCUGACUUUUGUGGUCUGGGAAAACUUUGGUUAAAAACGACCCAGUUUUUGUUUUCCAACAAUUUUUACGCAUUUACUACGGCCAAAUCAUGAACAUACUGUGUCAUUUCCGAAAUGUGGGGUUAUCAAGACAACUUGGUAUUAUAAAAACUUAUUCAUCUGCCGCCAAAAAAGCUGGAGAAGGAGUUCCCUAUCAAACUGUUUUGAAAGAUGGAUCAAUCUCUGAGCAGAUAUUGCCAACUGAGGCUGAUGUGGUAGUAUUGGGUGGUGGUAGUAUUGGUUGUAAUACUUUGUACCACUUAACGAAACUUGGUGUUAAGAAUGCUGUUUUACUAGAAAGAAAUCACCUAACAAGUGGUACAACAUGGCACACAGCUGGCUUAGUUUGGAGAUUGCGACCAUCGGAUGUUGAUGUCCGCCUCUUAGCUUACACUCAUCAGCUUUUACAGAAUUUAGAAGAGGAAACUGGAGUAGAUCCAGGAUACAUUGUUAAUGGUGGUUUAUUCGUAGCGUCAUCCAAAGAACGACUCGACGAAUAUAAGCGCCUUCAGACGCUUGGCAAAGCGUUUGGGAUCGAGUCGUUUGUCCUCGGGCCCAAUGAAACUAAAAAACUCUAUCCCCUUAUGAACGUCGACGAUGUCUAUGGAACACUAUAUAGUCCUCGAGAUGGUGUCGUUGAUCCGGCCGGAUUUUGCACGGCUCUCACUCGUGCUGCCACGCGUGCAGGUGCUAAAGUUAUCGAAAAUUGUGCGGUGACGGGAAUUGACACAGAUACUACCUUAUUUGGUAGCCGACAAGUUUCUGCCGUUCACACCGAUAAGGGAACCAUUAAAACAAGAUGCGUAGUGAACUGCACAGGAGCUUGGGCCCCAUAUAUUGGUGCUAUGGUUGACGUCGCUGUCCCAUUAGUUGUUACAAAGCAUGCCUACGUUGUUACGGAGAAAAUAGAAGGCAUUUCUGGAAUGCCCAAUGUAAGAGAUCACGAUUCUUCAAUAUACUUCAAAUUGCAAGGAGAUGCCUUGUCUGUUGGUGGAUACGAAAAUGAUCCAAUCUUUAUCGACCAAAUAUCGAAAGAGGAGGCGUUCAGUCUUUAUGAGUUGGACUGGGACGUUUUUGGUGUUCAUAUCGAUAGUGCGGUCAAUAGAUGUCCCACAUUGGCGAAAACGGGGAUUCGUUCGACAGUUUGUGGGCCUGAGAGCUUCACUCCAGAUCACAAACCUCUGAUGGGUGAGGAACCAACAUUAAGAGGAUUUUAUCAUGGGUGCGGAUUUAAUUCAGCUGGCAUGAUGUUUGGUGGGGGAUGUGGCUGGCAGUUGGCCAAAUGGAUAGUGCAAGGUCGUCCAGACUUCGAUAUGUUUGGAUAUGAUAUUAGACGCUUCGCUCCAGAUUUAGCGCGGAACGCUGACUGGGUUCGCCAACGCUCUCAUGAAGCCUAUGCUAAAAACUAUUCUAUUGUUUACCCACACGAUGAACCACUAGCUUCACGAAAAAUGAAAAGAUCGCCAAUCGCCCCUCUUCUUGAGAAAGCAGGGUGUGUGUUUCAGGAAAGACAUGGUUGGGAACGGCCUGGAUGGUUCUCAUCAUCAGGAAUUGCUGCAGUCCAACCAUACGAUUGGUACGGUGCAUACGGGAAUGCGAAAAAUGCAGAUCAGGCUUACGUAGAGCGCUUAAAAGAGGACUACACAUUUGGAUUCCCAAAGAAUCAUUCCACAAUAGAAGGCGAAUGCAAAGCUGCUCGUGAAAGAGUGGCUAUCUUCGAUAUGUCAUAUUUCGGCAACUAUUACCUUAUCGGCCCAGAUGCACAAAAGGCAGCUGAUUGGAUCUUUACCAACAACAUGCAGAAGUCUGCUGGCGAAACCAGCUACACUUGCAUGCUUAAUGCUCAAGCUGGAGUUGAAUCUGAUUUGACUGUAAGUUUCAUCGAUGGCUCAUCAACUGCUUCCUGGGAACCUUCUUUUCAGGGAAAAGGUUUUUAUAUCGCAGCUGGUGGUGGAUCCGCGUACCAGUCUUUUACUCAUAUCCGAAAGGUUAUUGAAGACAACCGGUUUAAUGCGAAAUUGGUUAACCUUUCUGAUAGUAUAUGUUUGUUGUCCAUUCAAGGACCAAAAAGUCUUGAAUUAAUGGGAAAGUUGAGCCCUACAACUCGAUUUACCAAUGAAGACUUCCCGUUUUCCACACACAAGCUAAUCGAUAUUAAAGGCCACAUUUGCCGUGCACUGCGUAUAUCUUUUGUAGGCGAAAUGGGUUGGGAGUUGCACGUACCGUCGUCGUCCGCUGUUGAUGUUUACAAGGCAGUGAUGGCCGCUGGGCAUGAUUUUGGAAUUUCGAAUGCCGGCUACCGAGCCAUUGACUCCCUUAGUCUAGAAAAAGGCUACCGACACUGGCAUAUGGAUCUUCGUGCCGAGGAUAAUCCAUUAGAAGCUGGUUUAGGUUUUACGUGCAAAUUAAAAAGUACGGUAGAUUUUCUAGGUCGCAAAGUCUUGGAAGAAAAAAGACAAAAAGGAUUGAACAAAAGAAUCGCCGUGUUCGCCAUAGAAGAGAAAGUGCCACUUUGGGGUAUGGAAGCCAUCUGGAGAAAUGAUCAAGUGGUUGGGUACCUGCGACGGGCUGACUAUGGAUUCUCGGUCGGUUGCAGCAUUGGUUACGGCUAUGUUCAUAGCCAAAGCGAGAAAGAACCCAUUACCACCAAAUACCUUAUGGAAGGAGAUUAUUUUAUUGAAGCCAUGGACGUCAAGCAUAAAGCACGUAUCCAGUUGAAACCACUGUUUGAUCCAGAAAACAAGCGGGUCAACGGUUUCUACUGAAAUGUAUCAAGUCAUUCCGGAUAGCGUUCUUUAAAAAAGGAGAGUUCAGUGAGUUCGGGGAAGCUGUUUUGAAAUUAAUCAAUUUCUGCUUGAAUAAUGAAAGCAAUGUUUGAAGAAUCUCCCCCAGGUUGAUAUUCCAAAUGCCAACGUUUAGGAUUAAACAAAACUAAAAAUAUAUAUUUUUCCAAAGGUCUGAA